AUCAGGAUGGCCGAGCGGUCCAAGGCGCUGCGUUCAGUUCGCAGUCCACUCUGUGGGCGUGGGUUCGAAUCCCACUCCUGACA
rnacentral:tRNA from 1 species